GGCGUGGAGAGGAGCACAAGGGGCGGAAGCCGGGCUCUCAGGCCUGCAUAGGCUGGUGCUGCGGGCCGGGAACCAGCACCACCCGGUUCGGGAGCCCCCUCCGGGUCUGCAGAAGGGGGGAAGUCAGACCCAUGUUCCAAGCCAAUGCCUGCCAGGAGGACAUGUGUCUCCACCUGCCACCCCCCAUAUGAACACUGCUGUACGAAGGUUCUUUUGGUCAACUGCAGUGAGAAUCAUCUGCUUGGGGUGACAGAUGGACAGAAGGAAACUGCUUCCUAAAGCAAGCAGAAUCAUUCUUAUGAUUCCAGCGUGUGGCUGUGGGCUUGGGGCUGCUCUGCCCAUCUCUACCAUGAGGGACAAUGAGGGACCACGAGGGACCACGAGGGACCACGAGGGACCACGAGGGACCACGAGGGACCACAAGGGGCCAUGA
rnacentral:lncRNA from 1 species